rnacentral:rRNA from 1 species
UAGUCCACGCCGUAAACAAUGGACACUUGGUGUUGGAGGUAUUGACCCCUUCAGUGCCGUAGCUAACGCGUUAAGUGUCCCGCCUGGGGAGUACGGUCGCAAGAUUAAAACUCAAAGAAAUUGACGGGGGCCCGCACAAGCGGUGGAGCAUGUGGUUUAAUUCGAUGCAACGCGAAAUACCUUACCUGGGUUUAAAUUGCAGUGGAAUACAUUAGAGAUAGUGUCGCUCUUCGGAGUCGCUGUGAAGGUGCUGCAUGGCUGUCGUCAGCUCGUGUCGUGAGAUGUUGGGUUAAGUCCCGCAACGAGCGCAACCCUUGCCUUUAGUUGCCAGCAUUUAGUUGGGCACUCUAAAGGGACUGCCGGCGUUAAGCCGGAGGAAGGUGGGGAUGACGUCAAGUCCUCAUGGCCCUUAUGUCCAGGGCUACACACGUGCUACAAUGGAAAAUACAAAGGGUUGCCAAGCCGCAAGGUGGAGCUAAUCCCAUAAAAUUUUCUAAGUUCGGAUUGAGGUCUGCAACUCGACCU